rnacentral:rRNA from 1 species
UACGUAGGGGGCAAGCGUUGUCCGGAAUCAUUGGGCGUAAAGAGCGCGUAGGCGGCCCUGUAAGUCCGCUGUGAAAGUCAAGGGCUCAACCCUUGAAUGCCGGUGGAUACUGCAGGGCUAGAGUCCGGAAGAGGCGAGUGGAAUUCCUGGUGUAGCGGUGAAAUGCGUAGAUAUCGGGAGGAACACCUGUGGCGAAAGCGGCUCACUGGACCACAACUGACGCUGAGGCGCGAAAGCUAGGGGAGCAAACAGG